rnacentral:rRNA from 1 species
UACGGAGGGAGCUAGCGUUGUUCGGAAUUACUGGGCGUAAAGCGCACGUAGGCGGCUUUGUAAGUUAGAGGUGAAAGCCCGGGGCUCAACUCCGGAACUGCCUUUAAGACUGCAUCGCUUGAAUCCAGGAGAGGUGAGUGGAAUUCCGAGUGUAGAGGUGAAAUUCGUAGAUAUUCGGAAGAACACCAGUGGCGAAGGCGACACACUGGCCCGUAACUGACGCUGAGGCGCGAAAGCGUGGGGAGCAAACAGG